rnacentral:rRNA from 1 species
UUAAGCGACUAAGCGUACACGGUGGAUGCCCUGGCAGUCAGAGGCGAUGAAGGACGUGCUAAUCUGCGAAAAGCGUCGGUAAGGUGAUAUGAACCGUUAUAACCGGCGAUGUCCGAAUGGGGAAACCCAGUGUGAUUCGUCACACUAUCGUUAACUGAAUCCAUAGGUUAACGAGGCGAACCGGGGGAACUGAAACAUCUAAGUACCCCGAGGAAAAGAAAUCAACCGAGAUUCCCCCAGUAGCGGCGAGCGAACGGGGAGCAGCCCAGAGUCUGAAUCAGCUUGUGUGUUAGUGGAACGGUCUGGAAAGUCCGACGGUACAGGGUGAUAGUCCCGUACACCAAAAUGCACAGGUUGUGAACUCGAAGAGUAGGGCGGGACACGUGGUAUCCUGUCUGAAUAUGGGGGGACCAUCCUCCAAGGCUAAAUACUCCUGACUGACCGAUAGUGAACCAGUACCGUGAGGGAAAGGCGAAAAGAACCCCGGCGAGGGGAGUGAAAAAGAACCUGAAACCGUGUACGUACAAGCAGUGGGAGCACCUUCGGGUGUGACUGCGUACCUUUUGUAUAAUGGGUCAGCGACUUAUAUUCUGUAGCAAGGUUAACCGUAUAGGGGAGCCGCAGGGAAACCGAGUCUUAACUGGGCGUUAAGUUGCAGGGUAUAGACCCGAAACCCGGUGAUCUAGCCAUGGGCAGGUUGAAGGUUGGGUAACACUAACUGGAGGACCGAACCGACUAAUGUUGAAAAAUUAGCGGAUGACUUGUGGCUGGGGGUGAAAGGCCAAUCAAACCGGGAGAUAGCUGGUUCUCCCCGAAAGCUAUUUAGGUAGCGCCUCGUGAAUUCAUCUUCGGGGGUAGAGCACUGUUUCGGCUAGGGGGUCAUCCCGACUUACCAACCCGAUGCAAACUACGAAUACCGAAGAAUGUUAUCACGGGAGACACACGGCGGGUGCUAACGUCCGUCGUGAAGAGGGAAACAACCCAGACCGCCAGCUAAGGUCCCAAAGUCAUGGUUAAGUGGGAAACGAUGUGGGAAGGCACAGACAGCCAGGAUGUUGGCUUAGAAGCAGCCAUCAUUUAAAGAAAGCGUAAUAGCUCACUGGUCGAGUCGGCCUGCGCGGAAGAUGUAACGGGGCUAAACCAUGCACCGAAGCUGCGGCAGCGACACUAUGUGUUGUUGGGUAGGGGAGCGUUCUGUAAGCCUGCGAAGGUGACCUGUGAGGGUUGCUGGAGGUAUCAGAAGUGCGAAUGCUGACAUAAGUAACGAUAAAGCGGGUGAAAAGCCCGCUCGCCGGAAGACCAAGGGUUCCUGUCCAACGUUAAUCGGGGCAGGGUGAGUCGACCCCUAAGGCGAGGCCGAAAGGCGUAGUCGAUGGGAAACAGGUUAAUAUUCCUGUACUUGGUGUUACUGCGAAGGGGGGACGGAGAAGGCUAUGUUAGCCGGGCGACGGUUGUCCCGGUUUAAGCAUGUAGGCUGGUUAUCCAGGCAAAUCCGGAUAAUCAAGGCUGAGGUGUGAUGACGAGGCACUACGGUGCUGAAGUAACAAAUGCCCUGCUUCCAGGAAAAGCCUCUAAGCAUCAGGUAACACGAAAUCGUACCCCAAACCGACACAGGUGGUCAGGUAGAGAAUACCAAGGCGCUUGAGAGAACUCGGGUGAAGGAACUAGGCAAAAUGGUGCCGUAACUUCGGGAGAAGGCACGCUGGUGUGUAGGUGAAGUCCCUGCGGAUGGAGCUGAGACCAGUCGAAGAUACCAGCUGGCUGCAACUGUUUAUUAAAAACACAGCACUGUGCAAACACGAAAGUGGACGUAUACGGUGUGACGCCUGCCCGGUGCCGGAAGGUUAAUUGAUGGGGUUAUCCGUAAGGAGAAGCUCUUGAUCGAAGCCCCGGUAAACGGCGGCCGUAACUAUAACGGUCCUAAGGUAGCGAAAUUCCUUGUCGGGUAAGUUCCGACCUGCACGAAUGGCGUAAUGAUGGCCAGGCUGUCUCCACCCGAGACUCAGUGAAAUUGAACUCGCUGUGAAGAUGCAGUGUACCCGCGGCAAGACGGAAAGACCCCGUGAACCUUUACUAUAGCUUGACACUGAACAUUGAGCCUUGAUGUGUAGGAUAGGUGGGAGGCUUUGAAGCGUGGACGCCAGUCUGCGUGGAGCCAACCUUGAAAUACCACCCUUUAAUGUUUGAUGUUCUAACGUUGGCCCCUUAUCGGGGUUGCGGACAGUGUCUGGUGGGUAGUUUGACUGGGGCGGUCUCCUCCCAAAGCGUAACGGAGGAGCACGAAGGUUAGCUAAUCCUGGUCGGACAUCAGGAGGUUAGUGCAAUGGCAUAAGCUAGCUUGACUGCGAGCGUGACGGCGCGAGCAGGUGCGAAAGCAGGUCAUAGUGAUCCGGUGGUUCUGAAUGGAAGGGCCAUCGCUCAACGGAUAAAAGGUACUCCGGGGAUAACAGGCUGAUACCGCCCAAGAGUUCAUAUCGACGGCGGUGUUUGGCACCUCGAUGUCGGCUCAUCACAUCCUGGGGCUGAAGUAGGUCCCAAGGGUAUGGCUGUUCGCCAUUUAAAGUGGUACGCGAGCUGGGUUUAGAACGUCGUGAGACAGUUCGGUCCCUAUCUGCCGUGGGCGCUGGAGAAUUGAGGGGGGCUGCUCCUAGUACGAGAGGACCGGAGUGGACGCAUCACUGGUGUUCGGGUUGUCAUGCCAAUGGCACUGCCCGGUAGCUAAAUGCGGAAGAGAUAAGUGCUGAAAGCAUCUAAGCACGAAACUUGCCCCGAGAUGAGUUCUCCCUGAGACUUUAAGUCUCCUGAAGGAACGUUGAAGACGACGACGUUGAUAGGCCGGGUGUGUAAGCGCAGCGAUGCGUUGAGCUAACCGGUACUAAUGAACCGUGAGGCUUAACCUU